rnacentral:rRNA from 1 species
GUUAAAAAGCUCGUAGUUGGAUUUCUGUGGGGACGGAGCGGCCGGCCGCUACUAGCGGUUCGAGCUAGCGCUUUCCCUACAUCCUGCCGCGAACCGUGCUACCAUUAGUUUGGUGGCGCCGGGGAUCGGCUCGUUUACUUUGAGAAAAAUAGAGUGUUCAAAGCAGGCCACACGCCUUGAAUAAGUAGCAUGGAAUAAUAACUAAGGACUUCGGUUCUAUUUUGUUGGUGUUCGGGACUGAAGUAAUGAUUGAUAGGGAC